rnacentral:rRNA from 1 species
AUUGAACGCUGGCGGAAUGCUUUACACAUGCAAGUCGAACGGCAGCACGGGAGCUUGCUCCUGGUGGCGAGUGGCGAACGGGUGAGUAAUAUAUCGGAACGUAUCCAAUAAUGGGGGAUAACUAAGCGAAAGCUUGGCUAAUACCGCAUACGCCCUGAGGGGGGAAAGCUAGGGAUCUUCGGACCUGGCGUUGAUGGAGCGGCCGAUAUCUGAUUAGCUAGUUGGUGGGGUAAAGGCCCACCAAGGCGACGAUCAGUAGCUGGUCUGAGAGGACGACCAGCCACACUGGAACUGAGACACGGUCCAGACUCCUACGGGAGGCAG